rnacentral:rRNA from 1 species
UACCAGCACCCCGAGUGGUCGGGACGUUUAUUGGGCCUAAAGCAUCCGUAGCCGGUUCUACAAGUCUUCCGUUAAAUCCACCUGCUUAACAGAUGGGCUGCGGAAGAUACUAUAGAGCUAGGAGGCGGGAGAGGCAAGCGGUACUCGAUGGGUAGGGGUAAAAUCCGUUGAUCCAUUGAAGACCACCAGUGGCGAAGGCGGCUUGCCAGAACGCGCUCGACGGUGAGGGAUGAAAGCUGGGGGAGCAAACCGGGAU